rnacentral:lncRNA from 1 species
UUCCAAUCAUUAACAUUUGUUAUUGCCUUGUUGCACCAUUGAUCCAAACUCAGAAUAUUAAGAGUGACUCUAAAACAAACACAAUAUCUCUAUUUUGCCAUGUUUCUCGGAUAAACACCUUUGAACCUUGGUAUUUCCUUGAGUUCACAGACUUGUCUGUUGCCAAAACUUUUUGCAUGCCUUAUUUGGGCUCACAAUAAUGUCUCUUUCAUGUGCUGGCUAUCGUCUUGCUCUGUGCUAUUGAAGAAACUGGUCG